UGGGGAAUAUUGGGCAAUGGGCGAAAGCCUGACCCAGCAACGCCGCGUGAAGGAAGAAGGCCCUCGGGUUGUAAACUUCUUUUAUCAGGGACGAAGGAAGUGACGGUACCUGAUGAAUAAGCCACGGCUAACUACGUGCCAGCAGCCGCGGUAAUACGUAGGUGGCAAGCGUUAUCCGGAUUUACUGGGUGUAAAGGGCGUGUAGGCGGGAGAGCAAGUCAGACGUGAAAUUCCAGGGCUCAACCCUGGAACUGCGUUUGAAACUGUUCUUCUUGAGUGAUGGAGAGGCAGGCGGAAUUCCGUGUGUAGCGGUGAAAUGCGUAGAUAUACGGAGGAACACCAGUGGCGAAGGCGGCCUGCUGGACAUUAACUGACGCUGAGGCGCGAAAGCGUGGGGAGCAAACAGGAUUAGAUACCC
rnacentral:rRNA from 1 species